rfam:Halanaerobium kushneri strain ATCC 700103 genome assembly, contig: Ga0104713_106
GGGGGUGUUCUGGCUUCGCCUGGAUGGUGAAUCCUUUAGAAGCGGGUCGAGGAGUUCCUUUCACUCGUAAAACACUGGGAACUAUAAAAUUAUCUGCAAACGAUAAUAAUUACGCUUUAGCUGCCGCGUAGGCAGUUAACGCCUGAGCGGGUCCUGUCUGUGGAGUCGCCUCAGGUGCCAUAAAAAGCAGACUAACCUUCUUCUGAUGUCUGUAAGAAGAAGGGACAUUUAACAGGCUGGCAGUAAGUAAUCCUGUUCAGUGGAGUGCUUACUGUGAGAUUAAAAGCUGAACUACGCUCGUAGAAACUACUGGGUGAGCCAUUCAGUACGUGGGUUCGACUCCCACCACCUCCACCA